rnacentral:rRNA from 1 species
UACGUAGGGUGCAAGCGUUGUCCGGAAUUAUUGGGCGUAAAGAGCUCGUAGGCGGUCUGUUGCGUCGGCUGUGAAAACCCGAGGCUCAACCUCGGGCCUGCAGCCGAUACGGGCAGACUAGAGUUCGGCAGGGGAGACUGGAAUUCCUGGUGUAGCGGUGAAAUGCGCAGAUAUCAGGAGGAACACCGGUGGCGAAGGCGGGUCUCUGGGCCGAGACUGACGCUGAGGCGCGAAAGCGUGGGGAGCAAACAGG